UUCAAGUGUGGCUUUUUGGUGGCAUCAACACAAGAGCAUCUUUAGAAGCUUAAAAGUGGCAUUAUCUGGAGUACCAACAUGGGCACAGCAGGGCUGUGGAGACUGGGUUGUCAUUUUGUGCUUCUAAAGCAGUUGUUCCCAGUUUCCUGGUGAGACCUCUGUCAGUGAGUGCCACAUAAAAAGUCUCUCUGUAGAUGGUCAGAAAAUGGAUAACCUCUGGGAAUUGAAACACCCAAUGCUCUGUCCCAUCAGCAGUGAAAAUGGGCCUAUGCUGUGUCUAACUGAUGUAUGGCAUUGUUUGCAUUUGCAUGAAAAUGUAUAUUUGAUGACUUGCAAAAAUAGCAAGAGGCUUCAAAGCAAAGAGGAUUGUUCUAUUUAUGCCACUUCUGCUUUCUUUCUUCCCCCAGGGUCUCAUAGAAGUGAUGGUGGUUUUGGACUUCAGUAGGUCUGUAAUCCAACCUCCUGCCUGGAGGAGGACUGUCUCCAACACCAGAUCAGGUCAGCUGUGGCUUUGACUACUUGAAGCUCAACCACUCCUGUGGAAGGAGAUGUCACCAACCCCCUGGGCAGUCUAUUCCAGCAGGCAGCAUGCAGUCAGUCAUGCCUUACAGAGGAAAAGGUGAAUGUGGAAGCUGGAGGGGCUUUGUUACCCUGCUAAUGGUAUGUGAAGUAAGUGGGGGCCUGAGAACCAUUGAGCUGGAAGCAAUAAUCAGCCGGUGUGAUAACAUCCAUCUCCCUGGACAGGCAGCAUCAAGAGCAUUUGUCGAAAUGAGUUGACUCUACAGAGUGCAGCACACCUUGAAUUCCCAUUCCUGCUGAUGUUCGGCAGCGUUGUGCAUCUCGCCCCCCAUGGCCCAUGUUCCUCCUGCUCGGCCCCUGGUCCAAGAGCAAUGUCAUCACAGGCCAGCACUAAAAGGCUAGAUAUAUGAAGGAUUACAAAGAACUUGGGAGCUCUAGUCAUGGACAUCACA